GAGGACGAGGAGGAGGAAAAAUGGCAGUCUGCAUUUUGGAAAAGAGAAAAACAGAGGGUCUUCGCUUGUUCCUGUUUAUUUUCAUGCCCCUAUAAGUGGAUGCCCUGCAAGUAACCUUCUGGUUCUUCAAAGCUUCAUCAUCCAUCAAAAGACAACGACAAACUGCAAACAAGAAAUCAGGAGGAGGAA